CCUUUCCCUUACAGGCUAUUGGUUGCAGGAUGUCAUGUGACAUCUGCGAUUAGCCCCCGGCGGCGACGUCAGACGCUGUUCCUCUCUGGGGGGUAUUUAAAGCACAGCUUUUUGGCUGCUAACACUGACAGGGCUAUACAGCCCCGGACACUAUUUACUGCUGUCGGUUCAGCAUUUUGUUUACCACCCUCGAUACACAGCCUCUUCUCUCACUGUGGGAUUGACUGAUUCUUGGGGGCACCUUUCUGAGGCGUUUGCUUGGGAAUUUAUGCUCUUCUUAUUCCCCUCAUCAACCUUCAUUGCAUUUCAAGUAUCAUCUUUACUGUGCAUUUGGAUUUGCUGCUCUGUGGUAUGCCUUGUACAAGCUCCUGAUGAAGCCCUGCUCGGGGCGAAACAUGUUGGGCACUCCAUGUACAGGUCAUGAAUGUGGCUCCCUCUGAAGCCACGCAUAUCCAUUUAGGAUCAUAUUGUGGUUGUUUGUACUUCCAUUUUUUUAUGUAUGUGUUAAUUAAAUAAAUUAUAUAUUUUUCUACCUA